AGGAAUAUUGGUCAAUGGGCGAGAGCCUGAACCAGCCAAGUAGCGUGAAGGAUGACUGCCCUAUGGGUUGUAAACUUCUUUUAUAAAGGAAUAAAGUCGGGUAUGGAUACCCGUUUGCAUGUACUUUAUGAAUAAGGAUCGGCUAACUCCGUGCCAGCAGCCGCGGUAAUACGGAGGAUCCGAGCGUUAUCCGGAUUUAUUGGGUUUAAAGGGAGCGUAGAUGGAUGUUUAAGUCAGUUGUGAAAGUUUGCGGCUCAACCGUAAAAUUGCAGUUGAUACUGGAUAUCUUGAGUGCAGUUGAGGCAGGCGGAAUUCGUGGUGUAGCGGUGAAAUGCUUAGAUAUCACGAAGAACUCCGAUUGCGAAGGCAGCCUGCUAAGCUGCAACUGACAUUGAGGCUCGAAAGUGUGGGUAUCAAACAGGAUUAGAUACCCUGGUAGUCCACACGGUAAACGAUGAAUACUCGCUGUUUGCGAUAUACAGCAAGCGGCCAAGCGAAAGCGUUAAGUAUUCCACCUGGGGAGUACGCCGGCAACGGUGAAACUCAAAGGAAUUGACGGGGGCCCGCACAAGCGGAGGAACAUGUGGUUUAAUUCGAUGAUACGCGAGGAACCUUACCCGGGCUUAAAUUGCAGAUGAAUUACGGUGAAAGCCGUAAGCCGCAAGGCAUCUGUGAAGGUGCUGCAUGGUUGUCGUCAGCUCGUGCCGUGAGGUGUCGGCUUAAGUGCCAUAACGAGCGCAACCCUUGUUGUCAGUUACUAACAGGUUCCGCUGAGGACUCUGACAAGACUGCCAUCGUAAGAUGUGAGGAAGGUGGGGAUGACGUCAAAUCAGCACGGCCCUUACGUCCGGGGCUACACACGUGUUACAAUGGGGGGUACAGAGGGCCGCUACCACGCGAGUGGAUGCCAAUCCCAAAAACCUCUCUCAGUUCGGACUGGAGUCUGCAACCCGACUCCACGAAGCUGGAUUCGCUAGUAAUCGCGCAUCAGCCACGGCGCGGUGAAUACGUUCCCG
rnacentral:rRNA from 1 species